rnacentral:lncRNA from 1 species
AUGGGAGAAGGGGAAGGAUCUAACAGGCAGUGCGAAAGUCCUCAACAAUCAUGCAAGCCAAAACUAAAGCAGCGAGGACACAGGGUAGACAACCAUCUGGGAGCCAAGGAUUUCCUGACAAGGUCGGAAAUGGAAGGAGCCUUUCUUCAGCCUCAGGCCAGUCCCUGCAAACUUAAGACCACAAUACACUGGCCGGCGUUAACUUCCCGGACAGAAAAACCACACCCACUAAGUCUUUNCCCCCCCCCCCCCCCCCCCCGCCCCGCAACCCUCUUCUCUCAAACACAGAGGAGAGAGGAGAACGGGCGUGCUGGCUUGGGGUCAGAAGUGAGCAGUUCUCCAGGCAGAGGAGGAAGACCAAGAAGGCAGGAGCUACCCCCUUCCGGCAUGAUGGAUUCCUGGGAUCCCAGAAGAGCUGGGCAGGAAGGGACCUCGAAAAAGGAACUACCAACACGUGCCCCGUGUCAGGCCCUGAGCCGCGCACUUUCGUGAGCAUUGUCCUAACACACCUAACUCUACUUGGAGAUAGGUAUCAUUAUCCCCAUUUUCCAGAUGAGAAAACCGAGGUUUAGUGACUUCCCAAGGAGGGGCGAGGAUUUUGUAUGACUUCAGAGCCUCUUCCCUGGAGUCCUCACGACCUGGAAGAUACCGAUUCCAUGACGUUUGGGGCAACAAGCAUCGGGUGUGAGAGGCCCAAGCUUUCCGAGGGACGACAGCGUGAUGGUACUUUCGGCGAGGGCCACGCCUCCCUUGUGGCGACAAUACUGAUUACUCUUGCUUUCCUUUAACAGCCUUACCCUUAAAUAUGAAGAAGUCCUUGCCACACGUGGGGGCGGACAUCAUAUAUUCCUUAGAUCUCCCGACAUCUUUCUCCCUCACCCGCAUUAAGCCCCACUAGUGACAUAAAUUCUCCCCCUCCACUAGCGAGUGAAGCCGUGGGACUACAAUUCCCGGCAGGUCUUUCAGAAAGAGGUGGUGGGGGAGAGGAGGACAGACACUCUCGCUUUCCGUAGGCUCGCCAUUUGGCGUGUCCGCCGUGAUGCACAUUUCAACAGCCCACGUCCUUUCUCUGGGGAGCUAAGGAAGGGACUACGACCCCCAGCAGGCACUGCCGCAGAGAGCAAGUGAUGGGCCGCCAUCAUCAUUGUAGUCCUUUAGCUCGUUUCCACAAGGGAACAGCCUUAGUGCGCGGACUACAAAUCCCAGCUCGCCGUCUCCCCUUCCCUUCGGCCGCCAUCUUUGCCGGUUGUCCCCGCCCCUUUCCCCUUCCCAUUGUCUCCACCAAAGAUAAUAGAGCGGACCUGGGAAGACUGCAACUCCCGUCAGGCUCUGCGCCACCGGGAGGGUGAUUGCGAUGUUACAGGCGGGCGAGGUGCCCAAGGUGGUAGAAUGAGGCGACGGGGAGAGGCCAGGUAGCCUGCCAUCUUUAUGGUAGUCUCCUUAUUCUCGUGGUUCCGCCAUUCUCACGGCACACUAGAAGGCCAGAAAACUACUAUUCCCAUCGCACCUCAUAAGACCGACUACUAGUCAGGUGUACGCCCCUCUUCCGCCAUCUUGCUUGUAGUCCUCGUUCCUUUUCACCUUUCCAUUGUUCCUGACGAGUAGAAAUGGCAGCGGGAAGGCAGCAGAUGGACUGCGACUCCCGUCAGGUACCACACACGCGGAGGGUUGUGGACAGGAGGGCGUGUGAGUGCCUGGGAAGGAGGUCGGGUCGGGGGAGAAGGCCAUCUUGUUUGUAGUCAUCGUUCCCGCUCCUUCUCUAUCCUCUGCAACGGGGAGCCUCGGGGCAACCGGACUAUAACUCCCGGCAUCCUCGGCUCCCGGCUUGGCACGCCCUCCGCCAUCUUGUUUGUAGUCCCCGCUGGCCCCAGCAUCCCCUUGUUCCCACGGUAUCACCGGCAUCCGCAGGACUACGAUUUCCGUCGUGCCCUGCGUGUGUUCGUCCUGGAAAGUGGAGGUGGUGGGGAAAGGAGGGGGCAGGGGGCGGGGUUCCUCUGGGAGAAGGAGGGAGUAAAGAGGAGGAGGAGGAGGGAAGGAGGAGGGAGGGGUGGGGGAAG